UAAACCAAGCUUCUUGCGUGUAUUUCUAACA
rnacentral:piRNA from 1 species